rnacentral:rRNA from 1 species
AUUGAACGCUGGCGGAAUGCUUUACACAUGCAGGUCGAGCGGCAGCACGGGGGCAACCCUGGUGGCGAGCGGCGAACGGGUGAGUAACACAUCGGAACAUGCCCAGUCGUGGGGGAUAACACUUCGAAAGAAGUGCUAAUACCGCAUACGUCCUGAGGGAGAAAGCGGGGGAUCGCAAGACCUCGCGCGAUUGGAGUGGCCGAUGUCAGAUUAGCUAGUUGGUGGGGUAAAGGCCUACCAAGGCAACGAUCUGUAGCUGGUCUGAGAGGAUGAUCAGCCACACUGGGACUGAGACACGGCCCAGACUCCUACGGGAGGCAGCAGUGGGGAAUUUUGGACAAUGGGGGCAACCCUGAUCCAGCCAUUCCGCGUGAGUGAAGAAGGCCUUCGGGUUGUAAAGCUCUUUCGGCAGGAACGAAACGGUGAGCUCUAACAUAGCUUGCUAAUGACGGUACCUGAAGAAGAAGCACCGGCUAACUACGUG